UGAGUAACCUGCCCUUGACUCUGGGAUAAGCCUGGGAAACCGGGUCUAAUACUGGAUAUGACUGCCGGCCGCAUGGUCUGGUGGUGGAAAGCUUUAUUGCGGUUUUGGAUGGACUCGCGGCCUAUCAGCUAGUUGGUGGGGUAAUGGCCUACCAAGGCGACGACGGGUAGCUGGUCUGAGAGGAUGGCCAGCCACAUUGGGACUGCGACACGGCCCAGACUCCUACGGGAGCAG
rnacentral:rRNA from 1 species